rnacentral:rRNA from 1 species
UACGGAGGAUGCAAGCGUUAUCCGGAAUGAUUGGGCGUAAAGCGUCCGCAGGUGGCUAUGUAAGUCUGCUGUUAAAGAGUCUAGCUCAACUAGAUGAGAGCAGUGGAAACUACAAGGCUAGAGUACGUUCGGGGCAGAGGGAAUUCCUGGUGUAGCGGUGAAAUGCGUAGAGAUCAGGAAGAACACCAGUGGCGAAGGCGCUCUGCUAGGCCGUAACUGACACUGAGGGACGAAAGCUAGGGGAGCGAAUGGG